AUUCUUAACCACUGCACCACCAGGGAAGUCCCCGUACGUAGUUUGAUUUGUCAUUUGAGUUGAGUUGUUCCUCUGCUGUUAUGUUCCACUACAGAAACUGCACAGCUCCUCCUGGUGGUCUCCGACGGACGCGGCCUUUUCUUUGAGGGCAAAGACAGAGUCCUAGCAGCAGUUCAGGCCGCCCGGAAUGCUAACAUCUUUGUCAUUUUUGUUGUGUUGGACAAUCCCAGUUCACGGGAUUCUAUCUUGGACAUCAAGGUACCAAUAUUUAAAGGGCCUGGAGAGAUGCCUGAAAUCCGAUCCUACAUGGAAGAGUUCCCAUUCCCGUUCUAUAUAAUCCUACGCGAUGUGAACGCACUUCCCGAGACGCUCAGCGAUGCUCUCAGGCAGUGGUUUGAGCUGGUGACAGCCUCUGACCACCCGUAGAACAGAAGGAACACAGUCCUAAGUGAGACUUUGCGGUCAGAAUGUCACACUGCUUGCCGGGUGCUCCCUUUUGGACAACUGUUUCUGAACUCCCAGCUCAAAAAUGGUAUUUAAUCUUAGAUUUGAUUUAUAAUCAUUCACCCAACAGCUACAAAAAA